rnacentral:rRNA from 1 species
GACGAACGCUGGCGGCGUGCUUAACACAUGCAAGUCGUACGGUAAGGCCCUUUCGGGGGUCCACGAGUGGCGAACGGGUGCGUAACACGUGAGUAACCUGCCCACAACUUUGGGAUAACGCUAGGAAACUGGUGCUAAUACUGGAUAUGUGCUCCUGCUGCUUGGUGGGGGUUGGAAAGCUCCGGCGGUUGUGGAUGGACUCGCGGCCUAUCAGCUUGUUGGUGGGGUAGUGGCCUACCAAGGCGGCGACGGGUAGCCGGCCUGAGAGGGUGACCGGCCACAUUGGGACUGAGAUACGGCCCAGACUCCUACGGGAGGCAGCAGUGGGGAAUAUUGCACAAUGGGCGCAAGCCUGAUGCAGCAACGCCGCGUGCGGGAUGACGGCCUUCGGGUUGUAAACCGCUUUCAGCAGGGACGAAGCUUUUUGUGACGGUACCUGCAGAAGAAGCACCGGCUAACUACGUG